rnacentral:rRNA from 1 species
AUUGAACGCUGGCGGAAUGCUUUACACAUGCAAGUCGAGCGGCAGCACGGGGGCAACCCUGGUGGCGAGCGGCGAACGGGUGAGUAAUACAUCGGAACAUGCCCAGUCGUGGGGGAUAACACUUCGAAAGAAGUGCUAAUACCGCAUACGUCCUGAGGGAGAAAGCGGGGGAUCUUCGGACCUCGCGCGAUUGGAGUGGCCGAUGUCAGAUUAGCUAGUUGGUGGGGUAAAGGCCUACCAAGGCAACGAACUGUAGCUGGUCUGAGAGGAUGAUCAGCCACACUGGGACUGAGACACGGCCCAGACUCCUACGGGAGGCAGCAGUGGGGAAUUUUGGACAAUGGGGGCAACCAUGAUCCAGCCAUUCCGCGUGAGUGAAGAAGGCCUUCGGGUUGUAAAGCUCUUGCGGCAGGAACGAAACGGCGAGCUCUAACAUAGCUUGCUAAUGACGGUACCUGAAGAAGAAGCACCGGCUAACUACGUGCCAGCCGCCGCGGUAACAC